rnacentral:rRNA from 1 species
AUUGAACGCUGGCGGCAGGCCUAACACAUGCAAGUCGAACGAGUGGCGGACGGGUGAGUAAUGUCUGGGAAACUGCCUGAUGGAGGGGGAUAACUACUGGAAACCGUAGCUAAUACCGCCUACCCUCGGAUGUACCCAGCUGGGAUUAGCUAGUAGGUGGGGUAAAGGCUCACCUAGGCGACGAUCCCUGGCUGGUCUGAGGGGAGGACCAGCCCAACUGGAACUAGGACACGGUCCAGCCUCCUAGGGGAGGCAGAGGGGGGAAAUAUUGCACAAUGGGCGCAGUCCGAAUGCGGCCAUUCCGGGUGGAUGAAGAGGGCCUUCGGGUUGUAAGGUACUUUAAGCGGGGAGGCGUUACCCGCAGAAGAAGCACCGGCUAACUCCGUGCCAGCAGCCGCGGUAAUUC